rnacentral:RNase_P_RNA from 1 species
UGGGUCGACAAGACGGUCGCGUGGUCCUUCGGGACCCCGAGGAACGUCCGGGCUCCGCAGGGCAUGACGGUGGGUAACACCCACCCGGGGUAACCCGCGAGAACAGUGCAACAGAGAGUAGACCGCCGGUGCCGCAAGGCAGCGGUAAGGGUGAAACGGUGGUGUAAGAGACCACCAGCGGCCGUGGCGACGCGGUCGGCUGGGUAAACCUCGUCGGGAGCAAGGUCGAACAGGAAGCGCUACGGGUGGCCCGCCCAGCUUCCGGGUAGACCGCUAGAGGCGUGCGGCAACGUACGUCGUAGAUAGAUGACCGUCCACCGCGGUGCGUUCGCCGCAGCGCGGAGACAGAACCCGGCGUAUCAGUCGGCCCAUUCC